GAUGAACGCUGGCGGCGUGCUUAACACAUGCAAGUCGAACGGGAAUUCUUUUAUUGACACUUCGGUCGAUUUAAUUUAAUUCUAGUGGCGGACGGGUGAGUAACGCGUGGGUAACCUGCCUUAUACAGGGGGAUAACAGUCAGAAAUGGCUGCUAAUACCGCAUAAGCGCACAGAGCUGCAUGGCUCAGUGUGAAAAACUCCGGUGGUAUAAGAUGGACCCGCGUUGGAUUAGCUUGUUGGCAGGGUAACGGCCUACCAAGGCGACGAUCCAUAGCCGGCCUGAGAGGGUGAACGGCCACAUUGGGACUGAGACACGGCCCAGACUCCUACGGGAGGCAGCAGUGGGGAAUAUUGCACAAUGGGGGAAACCCUGAUGCAGCGACGCCGCGUGAAGGAAGAAGUAUCUCGGGAUGUAAACUUCUAUCAGCAGGGAAGAUAGUGACGGUACCUGACUAAGAAGCCCCGGCUAACUACGUG
rnacentral:rRNA from 1 species